GAUGAACGCUGGCGGCGUGCUUAACACAUGCAAGUCGAGCGAGUGAGUUCUUCGGAACGAUCUAGCGGCGGACGGGUGAGUAACACGUGGGCAACCUGCCUCAUAGAGGGGAAUAGCCUCCCGAAAGGGAGAUUAAUACCGCAUAAAAUUAUCGAGUGGCAUCACAUGAUAAUCAAAGGAGUAAUCCGCUAUGAGAUGGGCCCGCGGCGCAUUAGCUAGUUGGUGAGGUAACGGCUCACCAAGGCGACGAUGCGUAGCCGACCUGAGAGGGUGAUCGGCCAAAUUGGGACUGCGACACGGCCCAGACUCCUACGGGAGGCAGCAGUGGGGAAUAUUGCACAAUGGGGGAAACCCUGAUGCAGCAACGCCGCGUGAGUGAUGAAGGUCUUCGGAUUGUAAAGCUCUGUCUUUGGGGACGAUAAUGACGGUACCCAAGGAGGAAGCCACGGCUAACUACGUGCCAGCCGCCGCCGUAA
rnacentral:rRNA from 1 species